rnacentral:rRNA from 1 species
AAUAGAUACCCGGGUAGUCCAUGCCGUAAACGUUGGGCACUAGGUGUGGGGGCUCAUUCCACGAGUUCCGUGCCGCAGCAAACGCAUUAAGUGCCCCGCCUGGGGAGUACGGCCGCAAGGCUAAAACUCAAAGGAAUUGACGGGGGGCCCGCACAAGCGGCGGAGCAUGCGGAUUAAUUCGAUGCAACGCGAAGAACCUUACCAAGGCUUGACAUGCACGGGAAGCCACCAGAAAUGGUGGUCUCUUUGGACACUCGUGCACAGGUGGUGCAUGGUUGUCGUCAGCUCGUGUCGUGAGAUGUUGGGUUAAGUCCCGCAACGAGCGCAACCCUGUCCCAUGUUGCCAGCGGGUUAUGCCGGGGACUCAUGGGAGACUGCCGGGGUCGAACUCGGAGGAAGGUGGGGAUGACGUCAAAUCAUCAUGCCCCUUAUGUCUUGGGCUUCACGCAUGCUACAAUGGCCGGUACAAAGGGCUGCGAUACCGUAAGGUGGAGCGAAUCCCAAAAAGCCGGUCUCAGUUCGGAUUGGGGU